UUAAGCGACUAAGCGUACACGGUGGAUGCCCUGGCAGUCAGAGGCGAUGAAGGACGUGCUAAUCUGCGAAAAGCGUCGGUAAGGUGAUAUGAACCGUUAUAACCGGCGAUGUCCGAAUGGGGAAACCCAGUGCAAUUCGUUGCACUAUCGUUAACUGAAUACAUAGGUUAACGAGGCGAACCGGGGGAACUGAAACAUCUAAGUACCCCGAGGAAAAGAAAUCAACCGAGAUUCCCCCAGUAGCGGCGAGCGAACGGGGAGCAGCCCAGAGUCUGAAUCAGCUUGUGUGUUAGUGGAACGGUCUGGAAAGUCCGACGGUACAGGGUGAUAGUCCCGUACACCAAAAUGCACAGGUUGUGAACUCGAAGAGUAGGGCGGGACACGUGGUAUCCUGUCUGAAUAUGGGGGGACCAUCCUCCAAGGCUAAAUACUCCUGACUGACCGAUAGUGAACCAGUACCGUGAGGGAAAGGCGAAAAGAACCCCGGCGAGGGGAGUGAAAAAGAACCUGAAACCGUGUACGUACAAGCAGUGGGAGCACCUUCGGGUGUGACUGCGUACCUUUUGUAUAAUGGGUCAGCGACUUAUAUUCUGUAGCAAGGUUAACCGUAUAGGGGAGCCGCAGGGAAACCGAGUCUUAACUGGGCGUUAAGUUGCAGGGUAUAGACCCGAAACCCGGUGAUCUAGCCAUGGGCAGGUUGAAGGUUGGGUAACACUAACUGGAGGACCGAACCGACUAAUGUUGAAAAAUUAGCGGAUGACUUGUGGCUGGGGGUGAAAGGCCAAUCAAACCGGGAGAUAGCUGGUUCUCCCCGAAAGCUAUUUAGGUAGCGCCUCGUGAAUUCAUCUUCGGGGGUAGAGCACUGUUUCGGCUAGGGGGUCAUCCCGACUUACCAACCCGAUGCAAACUACGAAUACCGAAGAAUGUUAUCACGGGAGACACACGGCGGGUGCUAACGUCCGUCGUGAAGAGGGAAACAACCCAGACCGCCAGCUAAGGUCCCAAAGUCAUGGUUAAGUGGGAAACGAUGUGGGAAGGCACAGACAGCCAGGAUGUUGGCUUAGAAGCAGCCAUCAUUUAAAGAAAGCGUAAUAGCUCACUGGUCGAGUCGGCCUGCGCGGAAGAUGUAACGGGGCUAAACCAUGCACCGAAGCUGCGGCAGCGACACUAUGUGUUGUUGGGUAGGGGAGCGUUCUGUAAGCCUGCGAAGGUGUGCUGUGAGGCAUGCUGGAGGUAUCAGAAGUGCGAAUGCUGACAUAAGUAACGAUAAAGCGGGUGAAAAGCCCGCUCGCCGGAAGACCAAGGGUUCCUGUCCAACGUUAAUCGGGGCAGGGUGAGUCGACCCCUAAGGCGAGGCCGAAAGGCGUAGUCGAUGGGAAACAGGUUAAUAUUCCUGUACUUGGUGUUACUGCGAAGGGGGGACGGAGAAGGCUAUGUUAGCCGGGCGACGGUUGUCCCGGUUUAAGCAUGUAGGCUGGUUAUCCAGGCAAAUCCGGAUAAUCAAGGCUGAGGUGUGAUGACGAGGCACUACGGUGCUGAAGUAACAAAUGCCCUGCUUCCAGGAAAAGCCUCUAAGCAUCAGGUAACAUUAAAUCGUACCCCAAACCGACACAGGUGGUCAGGUAGAGAAUACCAAGGCGCUUGAGAGAACUCGGGUGAAGGAACUAGGCAAAAUGGUGCCGUAACUUCGGGAGAAGGCACGCUGGUGUGUAGGUGAAGUCCCUGCGGAUGGAGCUGAGACCAGUCGAAGAUACCAGCUGGCUGCAACUGUUUAUUAAAAACACAGCACUGUGCAAACACGAAAGUGGACGUAUACGGUGUGACGCCUGCCCGGUGCCGGAAGGUUAAUUGAUGGGGUUAUCCGUAAGGAGAAGCUCUUGAUCGAAGCCCCGGUAAACGGCGGCCGUAACUAUAACGGUCCUAAGGUAGCGAAAUUCCUUGUCGGGUAAGUUCCGACCUGCACGAAUGGCGUAAUGAUGGCCAGGCUGUCUCCACCCGAGACUCAGUGAAAUUGAACUCGCUGUGAAGAUGCAGUGUACCCGCGGCAAGACGGAAAGACCCCGUGAACCUUUACUAUAGCUUGACACUGAACAUUGAGCCUUGAUGUGUAGGAUAGGUGGGAGGCUUUGAAGCGUGGACGCCAGUCUGCGUGGAGCCAACCUUGAAAUACCACCCUUUAAUGUUUGAUGUUCUAACGUUGGCCCCUGACCGGGGUUGCGGACAGUGUCUGGUGGGUAGUUUGACUGGGGCGGUCUCCUCCCAAAGCGUAACGGAGGAGCACGAAGGUUAGCUAAUCCUGGUCGGACAUCAGGAGGUUAGUGCAAUGGCAUAAGCUAGCUUGACUGCGAGCGUGACGGCGCGAGCAGGUGCGAAAGCAGGUCAUAGUGAUCCGGUGGUUCUGAAUGGAAGGGCCAUCGCUCAACGGAUAAAAGGUACUCCGGGGAUAACAGGCUGAUACCGCCCAAGAGUUCAUAUCGACGGCGGUGUUUGGCACCUCGAUGUCGGCUCAUCACAUCCUGGGGCUGAAGUAGGUCCCAAGGGUAUGGCUGUUCGCCAUUUAAAGUGGUACGCGAGCUGGGUUUAGAACGUCGUGAGACAGUUCGGUCCCUAUCUGCCGUGGGCGCUGGAGAAUUGAGGGGGGCUGCUCCUAGUACGAGAGGACCGGAGUGGACGCAUCACUGGUGUUCGGGUUGUCAUGCCAAUGGCACUGCCCGGUAGCUAAAUGCGGAAGAGAUAAGUGCUGAAAGCAUCUAAGCACGAAACUUGCCCCGAGAUGAGUUCUCCCUGAGACUUUAAGUCUCCUGAAGGAACGUUGAAGACGACGACGUUGAUAGGCCGGGUGUGUAAGCGCAGCGAUGCGUUGAGCUAACCGGUACUAAUGAACCGUGAGGCUUAACCU
rnacentral:rRNA from 1 species